rnacentral:rRNA from 1 species
GAUGAACGCUGGCGGCGUGCCUAAUACAUGCAAGUCGAGCGAACAGACGAGGAGCUUGCUCCUCUGACGUUAGCGGCGGACGGGUGAGUAACACGUGGAUAACCUACCUAUAAGACUGGGAUAACUUCGGGAAACCGGAGCUAAUACCGGAUAAUAUAUUGAACCGCAUGGUUCAAUAGUGAAAGACGGUUUUGCUGUCACUUAUAGAUGGAUCCGCGCCGCAUUAGCUAGUUGGUAAGGUAACGGCUUACCAAGGCAACGAUGCGUAGCCGACCGGAGAGGGUGAUCGGCCACACUGGAACUGGGACAGGGACCAGACUCCUACGGGAGGCAGCAGUAGGGAAUCUUACGCAAUGGGCGAAAGCCUGACGGAGCAACGCCGCGUGAGUGAUGAAGGUCUUCGGAUCGUAAAACUCUGUUAUUAGGGAAGAACAAAUGUGUAAGUAACUAUGCACGUCUUGACGGUACCUAAUCAGAAAGCCACGGCUAACUACGUG